rnacentral:lncRNA from 1 species
UUCCAUCGAUUUUCCUUCAAUUUGACGUCACGAUUUUCGUCGACGCAGUUUGACAGUUCUCUUCAGUUGGUCUUGUUUGGACUUGAUCAAAUCAGAGAAACUUUGAACCGAAUCGAACCAGUUUACGUUGUUGAAAAGUUUCGUGUGGAUUUUGGCCGGUUGAUUGAUUUCCUGAUUUCGGCCUUCGUGGUGGAGGUGGAGGAGAACGGGUCACAUCGUUGCUCCGGCGGGCCAUGCCGGAAGACGGGAAGGGGAGCACUCAGUCUGUGAUCGAGGAAGCGGAUUGGUGUUUAUUGGGAGGUGGCGAUGCGUGGUUUUUAUACGGUAACCAAAAAUAUUCCAAUCGAAUCCUGCUGACAACCCAGCGUUUCCGUGUUGUCCCACGGAACGGAAGCUGUAACGAUCGCAAAAACACCUGCACCAGAAGUGCGUAAACUAACGUUGUCCCGUAGGCCAUCAAUCUGUGGGAAUUGAAUGGAAGCGCCGCUCCAGUGCCGUAUCUACACGCUGGUGUUGACUCCAAAAGAUGGCUGACAAAGUCCGGCCAAGAUGCCGAAGCGAC